CCUACGGGGGGCAGCAGUGAGGAAUAUUGGUCAAUGGACGAGAGUCUGAACCAGCCAAGUAGCGUGAAGGAUGACUGCCCUAUGGGUUGUAAACUUCUUUUAUAUGGGAAUAAAAUGUUCCACGUGUGGGAUUUUGUAUGUACCAUAUGAAUAAGGAUUGGCUAACUCCGUGCCAGCAGCCGCGGUAAUACGGAGGAUCCGAGCGUUAUCCGGAUUUAUUGGGUUUAAAGGGAGCGUAGGUGGAUUGUUAAGUCAGUUGUGAAAGUUUGCGGCUCAACCGUAAAAUUGCAGUUGAAACUGGCAGUCUUGAGUACAGUAGAGGUGGGCGGAAUUCGUGGUGUAGCGGUGAAAUGCUUAGAUAUCACGAAGAACUCCGAUUGCGAAGGCAGUUCACUGGACUGCAACUGACACUGAGGCUCGAAAGUGUGGGUAUCAAACAGGAUUAGAUACCCGAGUAGC
rnacentral:rRNA from 1 species